rnacentral:rRNA from 1 species
ACGCUGGCGGAAUGCUUUACACAUGCAAGUCGAACGGUAGAGGGGGCAACCCCUUGAGAGUGGCGAACGGGUGAGUAAUAUAUCGGAACGUGCCCAGUCGUGGGGGAUAACGUAGUGAAAAUUACGCUAAUACCGCAUACGAUCUAAGGAUGAAAGCGGGGGAUCGCAAGACCUCGCGCGAUUGGAGCGGCCGAUAUCAGAUUAGGUAGUUGGUAGGGUAAAGGCCUACCAAGCCAACGAUCUGUAGCUGGUCUGAGAGGACGACCAGCCACACUGGAACUGAGACACGGUCCAGACUCCUACGGGAGGCAGCAGUGGGGAAUUUUGGACAAUGGGCGAAAGCCUGAUCCAGCCAUUCCGCGUGCAGGAUGAAGGCCCUCGGGUUGUAAACUGCUUUUGUACAGAACGAAAAGGUCUCUAUUAAUACUAGGGGCUCAUGACGGUACUGUAAGAAUAAGCACCGGCUAACUACGUGCCAGCAGCCGCGGUAAUACGUAGGGUGCAAGCGUUAAUCGGAAUUACUGGGCGUAAAGCGUGCGCAGGCGGUUAUAUAAGUCAGAUGUGAAAUCCCCGGGCUCAACCUGGGAACUGCAUUUGAGACUGUAUAGCUAGAGUACGGUAGAGGGGGAUGGAAUUCCGCGUGUAGCAGUGAAAUGCGUAGAUAUGCGGAGGAACACCGAUGGCGAAGGCAAUCCCCUGGACCUGUACUGACGCUCAUGCACGAAAGCGUGGGGAGCAAACAGGAUUAGAUACCCUGGUAGUCCACGCCCUAAACGAUGUCAACUGGUUGUUGGGUCUUCACUGACUCAGUAACGAAGC